rnacentral:rRNA from 1 species
GACGAACGCUGGCGGCGUGCCUAACACAUGCAAGUCGUACGGUAAGGCCAUUUCGGGGGUACACGAGUGGGGGACGGGGGCGUAAGACGUGAGUAAACUGCCUACAACAUUGGGAUAACGCUAGGAAAGUGGUGAUAAUUACGGCUAUGUGCUCCUGCUGCAUGGUGGGGGUUGGAGGGCUCCGGCGGUUUUGGAUGGAGUCGCGGCCUAUCUGCUUGUUGGUGGGGUGGUGGCGUACCGCGCCGACGGCGGGGAGCCGGCCCCGGAGGGUGACCGGCCACAGUGACACUGAGAGGCGGCCCCGGCUCCGACGGCUGGCGGAGGUGGGGAAUAUUGCUCAAGGGGCACAAGCCGGAUGCAGCAGCGCCGCGGGCGGGAGGACGGCCUUGGUGUUGGAAACCGCUAUCAGCAGUGACGAAGCAUAUUGUGACGGUACCCAAAGAAGAAGCACCGGCUAACUACGUG